UACGUAGGGGGCGAGCGUUGUCCGGAUUUACUGGGCGUAAAGGGUGAGUAGGCGGUUAUAUAUGCCAGGUGUAAAAGGCUAUGGCUUAACCAUGGUUAGCACUUGAAACUGUAUGACUUGAGUGCAGGAGAGGUAAGUGGAAUUCCUAGUGUAGCGGUGAAAUGCGUAGAUAUUAGGAGGAACACCAGUGGCGAAGGCGACUUACUGGACUGUAACUGACGCUGAGUCACGAAAGCGUGGGUAGCAAACAGGAUUAGAUACCCUGGUAGU
rnacentral:rRNA from 1 species